AAUUUUUCCUCUUCAAUAAUUAAGAUUUACCACAAAACACUACAACAUAAUAUAAUGUAAUAUAAUUAUUGCAACUAUAGUAACAAAACGAAUAUCGGCAAAACUUACGUCCAAUAAAUUUAUCGAGAUUUUUUCCAUAUAAUGUAUUGUCUACUACACAGGCAUAAACAAUAAAUGACAAUUUAUAUGGCGUCAAUAAUUUUAUUAAUACAAUUUGUAUAUGCUGACUCUAUAAGCUCAACACUUUUUUCUAUAUUGUGAGUCCACAGACAUUCGGAAAUAAAAGUAAUUCAAAUGACUUAUCGAAAUAGAGUCAAAUGAGACAAUGAUUCCGAUUGAUUGUUUGCAUCAUUUAUUUACAGACAUCAUUACACGAAAGGUAUCAAAUAUUCGACGUAAACAAAAGCAAAGUGAAUGAGUGCAAAACAAAUAACUAUAUUUCUGUCAAGCAACCUUUUUGAUAUGUAUAUAAUAAUAAUAAUAAAUACACAAACGUUAAAUACACACACAACUACAAAUUCAUGCAUUAUUGGAGAUUCGUACACAUGUACUUUCUGUUUUAAUGCUUAUAAAUAUAAAUGUGCCUGAGUGAUAAUAAAUAAAUCGCAAAUGUUUUAAAGUAUUUACCUCAGAAAAUGAUAAGAUAGUACAAUAUAUUUCGGCAAUAAUUGUGUCGGUAUAAUGAAAAGAGAAUUUCAAAAAGCAACAAAGAGCAUAUAAUCGAUUAUUGUACAAUCUAUUAAAGCACGUGUCAUAUAUUUAUUUAAAAAGCAGAGUCAUGCGACUUGACACGAACUCAAACGAAGAUUUCAAAACGUUAAAUCCAACGUUUUGUAGAAUCAAACCAGAAACUCUGUCCACCUGGGGUGAGUCAGCCAGAAAUGAUACACGACUGCCAAACACUGAUUACACUGCUACUAUAGGAGGACCUCGUCAUAAUUGCAGUCCUUUUCCCAUAUCAACACAUGUCAAUAAUCGUUUCAUAUUAUGGGACGGUGAUAUAACUCUAUUGGAAGCAGAUACUAUAACCAAUACAACCAACGAAACCUUAAGUGAAAGCAAUACACUUUCGGAAAGUAUAUUGAAUGUUGCCGGUAAUGAAUUAAGAGACGAAUUAUCGAAUAACGUUAGAGAAUGUCGUACCGGUGAAGUACGUGUAACAAAGGGCUAUAAUUUACCCGCUAAGUAUAUUUUACACACGGUGGGACCAACAUUUAAGGAAAAAUUUAAAACAGCCGCAGAAAAUACUUUGCACUGCUGCUAUCGAAAUGUUUUGUGUAAAGCCAAAGAAUUGAAUUUAAAAACUAUUGCGGUUUGUAAUGUUAGCACAAAUCAGAAGAGUUUUCCAGCUGAUUUAGCCGCACAUAUUGCCCUAAGAACUAUACGUCGUUUUUUAGAUAAAUACACCACACAAAUUGUUAUAUUUUGUCUUAAUUCCCACGAACACGGCAUUUAUGAAGUCUUAGCUCCCUUGUAUUUCCCUCGCAAUAGGUUAGAAGAACGCAGCGCUCUUUGGCAGCUACCCAAAGAUAUUGGCGGUGAAUACGGUGAACCGCUGCAUCCAGAUCGUCAGAUACGCAUUAUACGUAAUCCCCAGCAUAGCGUUUUAAUGCGUCAGGGCGACGACGACUCGGAUAAUAGCCCCCAUGAUUUCGAAAGUUGUGUCUCCGAUUUGGAAUACGGGCUUUCCGACUUAAAUAACUUAAAUUAUAGUUCAUAUAGUGGUGGCGGUAUGCACUCCCAUAUACAGGCUGAUCUGGAUCGUCAACAUUUACUGGGCGACACGUCUCGCAACAGUGUUUACGAGAAAGUUGUAGCCGACGGCAUUGAAGACCUCGAGCAUCAAGAAAGAUACGAACGCCUUUUAUAUCGCGCUCAAGUUGAGGAUCUUAAUGAAGUUUCUGGUAUUGGUUGCCUAUAUCAAAGCGGUGUUGAUCGUCUAGGUAGACCGGUUGUUGUAUUUUGUGGCAAAUGGUUCCCUGCCAAUAAUAUCAACUUGGAAAAGGCCUUAUUAUAUUUAAUAAAAUUAUUGGAUCCUAUCGUUAAAGGAGACUAUGUUAUCGCCUAUUUCCAUACACUAACUAGCGCCAAUAAUUAUCCAUCAUUACAUUGGCUGCGUGAAGUGUACAGUGUGUUGCCUUAUAAAUAUAAAAAGAAUCUUAAAGCUUUUUACAUUGUACAUCCAACGUUUUGGACUAAGAUGAUGACCUGGUGGUUUACAACCUUCAUGGCGCCAGCCAUUAAAGCUAAAGUGCAUUCUUUGCCAGGUGUUGAACAUUUAUAUUCAGCUAUAACGAAGGAUCAAUUAGAAAUUCCUGCUUAUAUUACCGAAUAUGAUAUGGCCAAAAGCAAGCGGUUUACGUUUUGUAUAAAAGUAUCGGAAACAAUUAGAAAUAAAUUUAGCAACCUCAAAAACAUGGCCAAUGGAGGUGUGAGAUGUCCCACCAUAUGCUAUGCGAAUGUGAAGCUAUCUGCGGAAUAAGACAAGUGUUUGGUCAGCGUUUCAAACAUGGCAUUGUGCUCUGAACCACGGAAAGUGGCUGGAUUCAUAAAAAUCCUAAAAAUGUAGGGCUAGGAGCACGGACGAGUACAAUAGAUCUUCUCGGUCGCGGUACGGACUGCCUACGCAAUGAAUAAUACUAAUUAUAAACUAAUGGUCUUCACUAUUUUACACCAGUGCCACAGGCGACUUGUUCAUAGAUAAAAACAAUUAGACCAGAGGCAGUAUAAAUCACAAAAACACAACCAAAUUUUUAACAUUUUGUGGGUCUUUGAGUCUGGCAAACACUCGGAAAUUAGCAUCCCAUCAAGUACUUACACGUAUUAAAAAAAAGAAAAAGAGAAUUUAAACAAAUAAAACAACAACCAAA